CCUACGGGAGGCAGCAGUGGGGGAUAUUGCACAAUGGGGGAAACCCUGAUGCAGCGACGCCGCGUGUGGGAAGACGGUCCUCUGGAUUGUAAACCACUGUCCCCAGGGACGAAGAUGACGGUACCUGGGGAGGAAGCUCCGGCUAACUACGUGCCAGCAGCCGCGGUAAUACGUAGGGAGCGAGCGUUGUCCGGAAUUACUGGGUGUAAAUGGAGCGUAGGCGGGACUGAAAGUUGGGUGUCAAAUCUACCGGCUCAACCGGUAGCCGCACUCAAAACUGCAGUUCUGGAGUGAAGUAGAGGCAGGCGGAAUUCCUAGUGUAGCGGUGAAAUGCGUAGAGAGUAGGAGGAACACCAGUGGCGAAGGCGGCCUGCUGGGCUUUUACUGACGCUGAGGCUCGAAAGUGUGGGGAGCAAACAGGAUUAGAUACCCCAGUAGUC
rnacentral:rRNA from 1 species